UUAGGGCCUAGCAAGGAUUUGCGGGUGGCCUAUAGUAAUCACUCUGUCUGUCUGUCUGUCCGUCUGUCACUCUUCCGUCCACAAAUUUUCUGUUUUUUCCUAAUAACUUUUUUUAUGGUUGCCCAAUUAAGAUCAAAUUUGGUAUGGUAGUUCAGUAGGCAGAAAGACAUAUUUUGAUGCUAAGUUUGUUUAUGUAUGUCCCCUGGUUUGGAGCUGGGUGGUGGGGUAGAUUCCUUAACUUUAUGUAAGAAUGCAUUGGCAAAGAGAGAUAACUGCAUAAGAUGUUCCCAUUGUAAACUGAAUGCUGCUAUGAGUCCCUUGAGAUUAAUUAGCUUUCCUCCUGAAGAAAAUCCAAAGCAUUAUCUUUAUCUGUCAAAUUGAGAUGAAUUACCACCUCUAUCUGCAAGUGAAGUUUGUUUUGAAGUUAAGUCAAUUUGGAAUGAUAUGAACACUCAGAUAUGUGAAUUUAAAUAUAAAUGUUCAUACUUUAUUUUUGUUAAAAUAGAGAUUCUUUCAUUGAAUUCUAAAAACAAGAAAUAGAUUAAAGAAGAUAUAUUUUUUAUUUUUACUUUUUUUUCCCUUUAUGUAAAUUCAAGAAUAUUAUUAAUUUUUAAGGUAGUUGUAUAAAAACCCCAUUCUAUCAUUAUAAAUACUGAAAAAGUUCUUAUACAUGUUAUAGUAACUUUAGAAGAAAAGGAUGAGAGAGGUACAGUUAAUCCCUUGGGAUUAAUUAUCUAGCCUGCUACAGAAAAUUUAGUAGGCUUAUCUUUAUCUGUCACUUUAAGAUUAAUGAAAACCUAAAAUUGUCUGCAAAUGCUGUUUGUUUUGAAGUUAAGGUCAAGUCUUCAUGAUAUUGGAUUCAUUGAAGGCUGGCAUUUUAUAUAACAUAAGCUUCAUUAUUGUUUAAAUAUACAUCCAAUAUUAAGUUUUUCUUUACUGCCUAAUUGAAAUACAAGGGUAUUAUUUACAGGUUUUUGAAUAUUCA